CCCGUGCUACAACCGCUCAGCUAAGGCUAUUUAAGCGUUCGCUUGAACCGCCUCACAGCUGGCGAGUCUGAGUCUAAUU
rfam:Anoxybacillus flavithermus strain 25 c77, whole genome shotgun sequence.